rnacentral:precursor_RNA from 11 species
AGUGGAACUUGAUUGCCCUGUAUGUCAUUUUCAGUCUUCAAUUCCUCCCAGCCCGUUAAAUGGAAAAGGUGAGUUGAGGCGAGUUGAAGACUAAAAAUGCUGUGCAGAUUCAAGGUAACUUUCCC